rnacentral:rRNA from 1 species
UACGUAGGCAGCAAGCGUUGUUCGGAAUUACUGGGCGUAAAGAGUGUGUAGGCGGUGCUCUAAGUUCGGUGUGAAAUCUCCCGCUUAACUGGGAGGGUGCGCCGGAACUGGAGUGCUCGAGCGUGGGAGAGGAAAGCGGAAUUCCUGGUGUAGCGGUGAAAUGCGUAGAUAUCAGGAGGAACACCUGCGGUGUAGACGGCUUUCUGGACCAUUGCUGACGCUGAGACACGAAAGCGUGGGUAGCAAACAGG